rnacentral:rRNA from 1 species
UACGGGGGGGGCAAGCGUUGUUCGGAAUUACUGGGCGUAAAGGGCGCGUAGGCGGUCAGACUAAGUCAGAUGUAAAAUUUAUGGGCUUAACCCAUAACUGUCAUUUGAUACUGGUCGACUAGAGUGUGGAAGGGGUUACUGGAAUUCCUGGUGUAGCGGUGAAACGCGUAGAUAUCAGGAGGAACACCGGAGGCGAAGGCGGGUAACUGGGCCAACACUGACGCUGAGGCGCGAAAGCUAGGGGAGCAAACAGG